rnacentral:lncRNA from 1 species
GCAUCAACUUUCUUCCCCCCUCCCUGCCUAAAAAAAUACAGGACACGAUAAUAACAUGCAAUCACGGAUUUCAGAGUUCCAUAAAUACAUAGAGGUCUACAAGUCAACAAUAACAACGUACAUCUGCCACAGGUGCCCUGAUAUAUAUAUAUAUAUAUAUAUAUAUAUAUAUAUAUAUAUAUAUAUAUAUAUAUAUACAACACCACCAACAACAAUUAUUUAGCAACUCUCCAGCAUAUAUCAUAGAUGAAGGGCCUGCCUGUAAAUAGAUUUCAGCAGGACGCGUCCAACUCCUGAAAAUGAAUGAGGUGAACAAAUCAUUAUGCACUAAAGGAUCACUUCUGCUCACCUUUCUAAUUUGGCAACCUGAUAUGCAUGUCAUAACAAAGUAUGAUUUUACUCUGGAGAUGGCUGGCUAUAUUAUGAUUCCAGUUGGAAAUUAUACAACAAGGAAUUAAGCCACAUGUUCAUGUAAAAUGUGUCUAUGUAUUUAAUCCAUACACACACAUAGCAUCUAUUCAUCAUAUAGACUUUUUCUUUUUUUUCAAUAUAAUUUAUGAUUCUUCAGCAAAACAUCAUAACAUAAUGGAUAAGAAAAAGGAUCAACAAAUCAGAGAUCUGUCUAAUCUGUUCUGUUUGUUGCUUUCUUACAGUAAGGGGGAAAAAACUAAUAACAUACCACACUAGGAUACUUUCAUUUAAAUCACAAUUCUAGGAAGCCCCUCUUUUCUGGUGGGUUUAACAUGAAACAUAAUUACCACAUUGACUGAUGAAGAACUUGGCAGAUGUAUCAGAUGUGAGGAGGAUUACAAGUGAACUGCUUAGAACCUAUGCUACAUAUAGUCGCAUCAGAAUUCAUUACUGACAUGGUAGACAACUACUCACAUAUCAAUAUAUUGCCAUUAUGCCAAUUGAAUACACAAAUUUAUGUAACAUGAAUGUACUACUUGAAACUGGUCGAAUUCACGAACGUGUGAUUGGCACAAUACUCACUCAGUGAUACUCGGAGACAUGAUACUCACAAUACUAUCAUUUUAGCACAAUAAAGAUGAUUGUGCCAACUUUGGAGUCCACCUUUUGCAGGAGCAAAUAUAAGUGCCAGUAAGACGAAUAUCUUAAUUAGUGAUAUGGUGCCUACCUUAUAUUCUUACUAUGACUUUACAUAAUUGGUAGAAAUAGUCACCAUAAAAUUCCCACUAUAUUGACAAAACAACAUUUAAGUCUGAACACUUUUGGCAAAAAUAGUCACUGUAGAAGUUCCCACUUUUACAAGUCUGAACUUUGUUUCCCGUAAUCGACCUAUCAUGAUGUUAUGCAAAGGCAACCUAAAGAAAGAAACCAUCUUGAGCUCUACAUCAACAUAUCUAAAACCUAUAUAAUCUUCCAAGUACAUGGUCUAGUUGAUGUCUGACCAAAUUGUUUUAAGACAAUAUCCCCUCCCAAGACAUUCCAAACAAAAGAAGACAAAUAAGCUUAAUACCAUCAUGAAUAUUGAGCCCACCACUUAACAAAAAUCUUCCCCUUGAUAUUUUUUACCAUCAACCCUCCACUUGUUAGGGACCUUUCUUGCUUCUAGUGACAAAUCACCUCUUAUAACUCAGUGCCUAAGAUUGACAGGUGGCUCUUUGAAUUAAUGUUUACUGAUUCAACAUGCAUAUUGUUAUUGUUAAGCAUUUACUCUCUUGUUAUCUAGUGAACAAAAUUAUGCGCCGACAGUUGUAAGAUAUACAUCUUCUAUCUCAACACAAUCAUCCAUUAAAUAUUCUAUGAAUUGGGGUCGACAAUGAAAACACAGACUUUAUAUGUUUUGCAUUAGGUCAUACAUGAUUGAUUAUAAUCAAACUUAAUCACAAUUUUCAGCAAAAUAUAAUAACUCAGCACCAUCUUUGUUUAAAACACUGCUUUUAUUGUACCAGAAUGUCCGAUUUGACAACCAAUCGGAAGCGAAAUGGCGAUUACGUCCAGUAUGGUCCAAUAUGGGCCAUACCACCCAGCACCAUACCAGACUUACUACAUGAUAUACAAAUUGAUAACAAACAAAACCAUGCGAUCAUAUCAUCUGGUACAGACACCAUUUAUUUAUUUUUGACAGCCGUCACAAGUAUCCAUUUUCAUGUCAUUCUCUCUCUCUCUCNNN